UACAGAGGGUGCUAGCGUUGUUCGGAAUCAUUGGGCGUAAAGGGCGUGUAGGCGGUUUGUUAAGUCAUGUGUGAAAUCCCUCGGCUCAACCGGGGAACGACGCAUGAAACUGGCAAGCUAGAGUACCAAAGAGGGGGGUGGAAUUCCCGGUGUAGCGGUGAAAUGCGCAGAUAUCGGGAAGAACACCGGUGGCGAAGGCGGCUCUCUGGGCCUGUCCUGACGCUCAGGCGCGAAAGCUAGGGGAGCGAACAGG
rnacentral:rRNA from 1 species